GUCUAUAAAUACAUCAACCUGAAUGCAUGUAAUUUUCAUAAGCUAAGCAGGCAUGAUACUGGUUAGCAAUUUGACGAGAGGGCUGCCUGGGAAUACCAGGUGUUGUAGGCU
rnacentral:rRNA from 1 species